UUUAGGGGUUGCUUCGAAACUUCCUAAAUUUCUGGAACCUGCGGAAAAAGCUCCUUCAAAAAUAAACAAAUUUCCAAGAAAUAAACUGAGUAUUCCUAAAAGACAACAAAAGGUCAAAGACUUCGAGAAAACGAAUUUCAAGUUAUUUGCUGUAUCUGAAUCUCAAAAGAGAAAAGAAAAGCUUUG